CACGUAGGCACCAAGCGUUGUCCGGAUUUAUUGGGCGUAAAGGGCUCGUAGGCGGUUCGUCACGUCGGGAGUGAAAACUCGGAGCUUAACUCCGAGCCUGCUUCCGAUACGGGCAGACUAGAGGUAGGCAGGGGGAGACGCGAACUCCUGGUGUAGCGGUGGAAUGCGCAGAUAUCAGGAGGAACACCGGUGGCGAAGGCGGGUCUCUGGGCCUUACCUGACGCUGAGGUGCGAAAGCGUGGGGAGCAAACAGG
rnacentral:rRNA from 1 species